AUGAUACUCCCUCCGUUCCAAAAUAGAUGACUCAACUUUAUACUAACUUUGUACUAACUUUAGUACAAAGUUAGUAUAAAGUUGGGUCAUCUAUUUUGGAAUGGAGGGAGUAUUUU
rnacentral:pre_miRNA from 1 species